rnacentral:lncRNA from 1 species
AGAGAGAGAGAGAGAGAGAGAGAGAGAGAGCAACGUGGGGAGAAAUAAAGGGAGGAAAGAAAAAAGAAGAAAAAUAAAUGAAAUCCUCCCAUUGAUCGAAAUUUUUUAAAAUUAAUUUUAAAUAAAAACUAAAGGCUUAUGUUGAUUGGUUGGUAACAUAAACUUAUUUAUUUUACUAAUUAAAUAAAAAUACACAAACAUGAAUAAAACUCAAAUUGAA